UCCCCUCUGCUCUCUCUCUCUCUCUCUCUCUCUCUCUCUCUCUCUCUUCACUCCGCUCGCCGGCUCGAGUCAUCAUAACCAGAGGAUUGAAUUCGAUCGAAAUUGGAGAAAUUUCGCUCGACUCCAAUUGAAGAAAUGCGGCCUCCGCCGCGGCACGGCAACGACUCCUCAUCCUCCGGAAACACCUUCUACAAAGAGGAAGCCGACAAGCGACAAUGAUUCCCCAGCAAUGACCCUUCCCUUGCUUCUUCCUCUUCUUCGUCUUCGUCUGCUCCUUCCACUACUCUUCGCUUCCCGUUUUUGACGUAGCAUGGUCGGCUUCAUUUUAGAGUACAUGGGUCAGAAUCAGCAACGCAACCUUUCCGAGAAUGACCUCAUGAAGUCAUUCUUGAAUAUGCCAACUUUAGAGAGCUUAAUGCGCUUCCCGCUGAAUGCAAAGUGUUGCCUGCACCAGGAUUGAAUCGCUAAAUGUCAUCGGGAAGACAAACUGGAAAUCAGAGAAAACAGGAAGAGCAAGUAAGCUGUAAGAUAUCCUAACAGCAGACAGCCGUAGAUAAUGCAGGACUCUUCGGGCACAAUAACAGGUAUGCCAGUGCUACGUGCUUCGGUCCUUCGUACUUGGGGAAGGACAGGUCCUCUUGAUGCUAUGAUGGCAUAUGGACCGAACUGUUUGACGAGGUUCCAAUCCCAGCUCACGUGUGUUCAUUCGUAAUCGGAAACUGAUACUCUAAAGAUGAUGGCUUUAUUAUAGUAUUGAUACUUGGGAUCGGAUCAUUAAGAAAACAAAUUUAACAGGAGAACUUGAUCAAAAUCGAUCUUCUUCAUGGAAAGCAUGACAUAUUCUACUCGAGAGAAGAUAGUUGCGGAUUUGUGAUUUUGACAAUGAUUUGUAUGAUCCGUUUCUUUGAGCACCCGAUUAAUGUGCUUGUAUAUGGAGAACGCGAUAAACAUAUGAUAUGACUAAUUCGAUUGUGCUUCCCACACAGACAAAUUCGACCA